CCUACGGGGGGCAGCAGUGAGGAAUAUUGGUCAAUGGACGAGAGUCUGAACCAGCCAAGUAGCGUGAAGGAUGACUGCCCUAUGGGUUGUAAACUUCUUUUAUAUGGGAAUAAAAUGUUCCACGUGUGGGAUUUUGUAUGUACCAUAUGAAUAAGGAUCGGCUAACUCCGUGCCAGCAGCCGCGGUAAUACGGAGGAUCCGAGCGUUAUCCGGAUUUAUUGGGUUUAAAGGGAGCGUAGGUGGAUUGUUAAGUCAGUUGUGAAAGUUUGCGGCUCAACCGUAAAAUUGCAGUUGAAACUGACAGUCUUGAGUACAGUAGAGGUGGGCGGAAUUCGUGGUGUAGCGGUGAAAUGCGUAGAUAUCACGAAGAACUCCGAUUGCGAAGGCAGUUCACUGGACUGCAACUGACACUGAGGCUCGAAAGUGUGGGUAUCAAACAGGAUUAGAUACCCGAGUAGUC
rnacentral:rRNA from 1 species